rnacentral:misc_RNA from 1 species
GAUGAAGAACGUAGCAAAAUGCGAUAAGUAAUGUGAAUUGCAGAAUUCAGUGAAUCAUCGAAUCUUUGAACGCACAUUGCGCCCGCCAGUAUUCUGGCGGGCAUGCCUGUUCGAGCGUCAUUUCAACCCUCAAGCCCUCGGGUUUGGUGUUGGGGAUCGGCGAGCCUUUCUGGCAAGCCGGCCCCGAAAUCUAGUGGCGGUCUCGCUGCAGCCUCCAUUGCGUAGUAGUAAAACCCUCGCAACUGGAACGCGGCGCCGCCAAGCCGUUAAACCCCCAACUUCUGAAUGUUGACCUCGGAUCAGGUAGGAAUACCCGCUGAACUUAAGCAUAUCAAUAAGCGGAGGA